GAUUAUGGCUCAGAUUGAACGCUGGCGGCAGGCUUAACACAUGCAAGUCGAGCGGGGAUAGGGUGCUUGCACCUGAUUCCUAGCGGCGGACGGGUGAGUAAUGCUUAGGAAUCUGCCUAUUAUGGGGGACAACGUUCCGAAAGGGACGCUAAUACCGCAUACGUCCUACGGGAGAAAGCAGGGGAUCUUCGGACCUUGCGCUAAUAGAUGAGCCUAAGUCGGAUUAGCUAGUUGGUGGGGUAAAGGCCUACCAAGGCGACGAUCUGUAGCGGGUCUGAGAGGAUGAUCCGCCACACUGGGACUGAGACACGGCCCAGACUCCUACGGGAGGCAGCAGUGGGGAAUAUUGGACAAUGGGGGCAACCCUGAUCCAGCCAUGCCGCGUGUGUGAAGAAGGCCUUUUGGUUGUAAAGCACUUUAAGCGAGGAGGAGGCCUACCUGGUUAAUACCCGGGAUAAGUGGACGUUACUCGCAGAAUAAGCACCGGCUAACUCUGUGCCAGCAGCGGC
rnacentral:rRNA from 1 species